rnacentral:lncRNA from 1 species
GCGGGACCCAGGGCCCGAUGCUCCGCAUGGAUGCUCAGGCUGAAUGUGAACAUCAUCUCUACAGUCAUAUACUGGAAUUGGAGCUGCGGCUGCUGAUGGUGUUUGCUUCUGAGUGACUUUCCUGGGCUCUAUGGGAAGAUGGAAGAUUGUUCCCGCCCGUUGGUCAUCUCUUCCAUGAGGCUGAAGGCUCUCUCUUCUGACUCCCAUCUCAAGUCCAAUGAAGCAUGUUCUUUGUGAUAGCGCACAACAGUACGCAUCAUUAAAAUGCACAGGGGCUCUAAAGCACGUGAAUAAGAAAAUGUAUUUUACAUAAAUCAA